rnacentral:rRNA from 1 species
UACGUAGGGUGCGAGCGUUGUCCGGCAUUAUUGGGCGUAAAGAGCUCGUAGGCGGUUUGUCGCGUCGACUGUGAAAACUGGGGGCUUAACUCUCAGCUUGCAGUUGAUACGGGCAGACUUGAGUUCGGUAGGGGAGACUGGAAUUCCUGGUGUAGCGGUGAAAUGCGCAGAUAUCAGGAGGAACACCGGUGGCGAAGGCGGGUCUCUGGGCCGAUACUGACGCUGAGGAGCGAAAGCGUGGGGAGCGAACAGG